UGGGGAAUAUUGCACAAUGGGCGCAAGCCUGAUGCAGCCAUGCCGCGUGUGUGAAGAAGGCCUUCGGGUUGUAAAGCACUUUCAGCGGGGAGGAAGGCGAUAAGGUUAAUAACCUCAUCGAUUGACGUUACCCGCAGAAGAAGCACCGGCUAACACCGUGCCAGCAGCCGCGGUAAUACGGAGGGUGCAAGCGUUAAUCGGAAUUACUGGGCGUAAAGCGCACGCAGGCGGUCUGUCAAGUCGGAUGUGAAAUCCCCGGGCUCAACCUGGGAACUGCAUUCGAAACUGGCAGGCUAGAGUCUUGUAGAGGGGGGUAGAAUUCCAGGUGUAGCGGUGAAAUGCGUAGAGAUCUGGAGGAAUACCGGUGGCGAAGGCGGCCCCCUGGACAAAGACUGACGCUCAGGUGCGAAAGCGUGGGGAGCAAACAGG
rnacentral:rRNA from 1 species